rnacentral:lncRNA from 1 species
GGUGGGUUGUCACUCCCAGAAGCUGCCUGUUGAGUGACAUUUAUAAUCUGUUAGUCAGUACACUUGUCAGCACUGCCUGUGGCUUGUCUGCAUAGAGAUAAUACUUAUCUUCUCACUAGACAGUAAGUAAGCUUAUGGGUAAAGAAGCUGUGACUAAUAUAUUUUGUUUCCCCACACUGUGCCUUGUAUAUAACUCUUACCAGAUAAUGGUUGACUAUGAAUGAUGUCUUGAGCAGAUCACUUUGAGGGCACUAUGAGAAGAAAGCCUGGAAAGUGUAAUAUUCCCAAAGACGGUAGAAGUUCAGGCCUUGUACACCUCACUCCAUCUGUCCUAAGGUCUGUAAGUUGGUCAUUAGGAUUUUUAGUAUGGUAAAUUGAGAUUUGCUAGUUUGAAGACUGGUGUGUUCUUUGCCUUCCCGUCACUUUUUUCUGGUUGUUUUGGAGCACUAGGCUGAGAAGCAGAAUUGUCAGUAAUGAUCCUUUUGAGGGCAAAGCUUUUGAGUGCUCAGACUCUGGAAGGAGCACUAGACUCUGGGCUACUGUGCUGCCCUGCCUUGAGCUUAUAUGUGUAGCAGUUGAUGUGUAGAGCUGGUGCCCUGCCUCUACCUCUGGCCAUGUAUGUAGCCUGUUAGAAAUCUUCCAACAAGUGUGAUGGAUGCUAGGAGCAUAGUAAACACUAACCUGUUGCUGCUUUGUUGACUUAUUUAUUAACGUGGUUCCCUGAUGAGCCAGGCCCACACAGCCUGCUAUAGUUGUAGAGGUGUGGCUAUUUCCUGGGAUGUCUCAAUUACUUAUCCUUCCGGUGUUGACAUCAAGUACUUACAGCUUUCAUGCUAAUCUCUUUAGACAGGAGGCAAAAAUGGUGAUACAACAGCAGUGUUGUUCACUUGAGCCUCCUUACCAAUAGUCUAAGGGUUUGGUGAGGUCUUAAGACCAUGAUGGAAAAAAAUGUACCCACUUUCAUUCCAAGCCAGGUCUACUCCAGCCCUUGGUCUUGUCAUCCUGAACAGCCUGUCCUAGCAGAGUCUUUGUGGCCUGAGCUUUUCUUUCAUUAUUUCAGAUGCAGUUGAACUGUGUCUAGUAUUUACAAAUCCCUGGGUUUAAUCCAGAGCACCAUAUACAACUGGGAGUAGUUAUCCCGACACUUGAAAGCUGGAGUGGCAUACUCAGCCACAGAGUGAGUUCAAGACCAGCCUGUCUCAGGCAUCGGCAAGCUGAAGACUUUAAAAAGCCAGAGGGUUUAGAGUGUAUGUAGCUCGUGGCUGUAAUCCCAAUACUUGGGAGACCUGCUUGCCUGGCCUUAAAACCCCGUUUCAAAU